GGGCUGGCCUGUUGACAUUUUUUACUCAAACGUGGUGGAGCUUAUGGCUAUUUGUAAAGCCCUUAAGUUAUUAGUCUCUUUUCUAGCUUAUUACUUAAAUGUAGAAGGUAUCACCGUUGAAUCUGGCUCUAUCAACACAAUUUCCUAGGUUUCUCAUCCUGACAUAACCCCUUGGAGGGUUAAUGCAGUUAUCAAUUCUAUUUGUAAUUAUCUUCAAGCUCU
rnacentral:misc_RNA from 1 species